rnacentral:misc_RNA from 1 species
UCCGGGUUGGACCCGGCGGUCCCACCAGACAGCGUAACUGGCGGCGAGGGUUGCGCUCGUUGCGGGACUUAACCCAACACCUCACGGCACGAGCUGACGACAGCCGUGCAGCAUCUGUGCAGACUCCCUUGCGGGUCGUCCCGGUUUCCCGGUCCUACCAUCUGCAUGUCAAGCCCAGGUAAGGUUCUUCGCGUUGCGUCGAAUUAAACCACACGCUCCGCUGCUUGUGCGGGCCCCCGUCAAUUCCUUUGAGUUUUAGCCUUGCGGCCGUAGUCCCCAGGCGGGGCACUUAGCGCGUUAGCUGCGGCACCGGGGGGGUCGAUACCCCCGACACCUAGUGCCCAUCGUUUACGGCGUGGACUAC